rnacentral:rRNA from 1 species
ACGGCUCAGUAACACGUAGCUAAUCUGCCCUUAGGACGAGAACAACCCCGGGAAACUGGGGCUAACUCUCGAUAGGCGAAGAACUCUGGAAUGAGUCUUCACCUAAACAGUUCGGCGUUAUGCUCGUUGGACCGCCUAAGGAUGAGGCCGCGACCGAUCAGGUUGUUGGUGAGGUAAUGGCUCACCAAGCCUUUUACCGGUGCGGGCCGUGAGAGCGGGAGCCCGGAGAUGGGCACUGAGACAAGGGCCCAGGCCCUACGGGGCGCAGCAGUCGCGAAAACUUUGCAAUACACGAAAGUGUGACAGGGCUAUCCCGAGUGCCAUCCGCUGAGGAAGGCUUUUACCCAGUCUAGAAAGCUGGGGGAAUAAGGAGAGGGCAAGUCUGGUGUCAGCCGCCGCGGUAAUACCAGCUCUCCGAGUGGUGUGGAUGUUUAUUGGGCCUAAAGCAUCCGUAGCUGGCUAAGUUAGUCCCUUGUUAAAUCCACCGAAUUAAUCGUUGGAUCGCGGGGGAUACUGCUUGGCUAGGGGACGAGAGAGGCAGACGGUAUUUUCGGGGUAGGGGUGAAAUCCUAUAAUCCCGGGAAGACCACCAGUGGCGAAGGCUGUCUGCUAGAACGCGCCCGACGGUGAGGGAUGAAAGCUGGGGGAGCGAACCGGAUUAGAUACCCGGGUAGUCCCAGCUGUAAACGAUGCAGACUAUGUGUUUGGACGGCCACGUGCCGUUCUAGUGCCGCAGGAAGCUGUUAAGUCUGCCGCCUGGGGAGUACGAUCGCAAGAUUGAAACUUAAGGAAUUGGCGGGGGAG